UACGGAGGGAGCUAGCGUUGUUCGGAAUUACUGGGCGUAAAGCGCGCGUAGGCGGCUUUGUAAGUUAGAGGUGAAAGCCCGGGGCUCAACCCCGGAAUUGCCUUUAAGACUGCAUCGCUUGAAUCCGGGAGAGGUGAGUGGAAUUCCGAGUGUAGAGGUGAAAUUCGUAGAUAUUCGGAAGAACACCAGUGGCGAAGGCGGUGAUCUGGGACCGACACUGACGCUGUAGAGCGAAAGCGUGGGGAGCGAACAGG
rnacentral:rRNA from 1 species